rnacentral:sRNA from 1 species
GCUCACCAACCAAAAUAACGAAAUAAUGUUUAAUUUCACGGGACAUGUUAUAUGGUAGGACGAGUUUUGGUCGAUAUUACUACGGGUGAAAUCCUAGAAUUAGUGGGUGAUUGGUUGGGCUGUAACUGUAGAAUUUUUGCUGUAGUUGUGUUGGCUGUAGCUGUAACUUUUAUUGUUGUAGAAUUUUUGCUGUAAGUUUUUAACUUUAAAUAUUUAUAAAAAAUGGAUUAGUAAAUAUAAUAGUUGU